rnacentral:tRNA from 1 species
GGGGCUAUAGCUCAGUUGGUAGAGCAUCUGCUUUGCAAGCAGAAGGUCGGGGGUUCGAAACCGCCUAGCUCCA